GCAGCCUUCCAGUUUGAUUUCUCUUCCUCCUCUCGAAUCCCUAACCUUCUCGAUGGAUUCGUUCCAAGGUCGCCGCUUCGCCGGCGGUGGCGGUGGAGAUCUCCAGCAGCCGCAGCAGAACCCUUUCCCUAAUCCCUACCAUCAUCAACCCCAAUCUCAUUCCCUUCCUGCCUCUAGUUAUCCCUUCCCGCCUCCGCCUCCUAACCACAACCACUAUCCGUCUCCUCCUCCUCCUCCCCCUCCGCAUCAUAUUUCCUCUCAGAAUCAGCCGCCUCCACCGCAGUGGGUUCAUCCGGAUGGCCACUUUCAGCAGCAGCAGCAGCAUCACCCGGCUUUUCCACCGCCCUAUCCAUCGCCUUACGCAGCGCAGCCCGUGCAGCAACAUCAGUACCCUCCUCACUCUUCGCUCCACCAUGCGCCGCAGAUGCAGCCGCCUCCGCUCCCCCCUUCUGCUUACCCUCCGCCACCGCAUCAGGGGUGGGGAGGCCAAUCUUGGCCACAGAAUCAGGCAUGGGAAUACUCAGAAAGAAACCUAACAUAUAAUGCUGUGGAUGACUGGGCUGCUCGAGCAAAAGCAUGGGCAACUGCCAAAUCAGGGACAGAUAUCCAUCAUAGUCAUCCUCAGGUUGUGCCUGAGGGAAAAACAGAAGUGCAUAGUCAUACUUAUCGUGAUCAAUAUCAAGCCACAAUGGGUCCUCCUACAGAUGCUCAACAAUCUUUGCUUUCUCAGUCCACUAACCAACAGCCACCCCAUUUUUCAAUGAAUCAACAGAAACAAGUUGACCAUGCAUAUCUCUCUGCUUCAUUGGCCUCUGGUCCAAUUUAUGUAGGAGACAUGCAUAUCCAUUCCACUACUGGAGAAGAAGCUGCUGCCCAACGGAAGGAUCAUACUUCGCCUGGGGAAAAUUUUGGGCGUACGCCAUCCAUUUUUGAGCAGGAGGUACCUUAUAGUUAUUCUUCUAUCCCAGGUAACAGAGACACUGUUAGUAAGUUACAUCUGCCUGCAUUAUCCACACAAAAAGGCUUUGCUCAUCCACCACCAGCAUUUACUAAUCCAAAUGUAGCUGUUGAUCAGUAUGAUUUGACCCAUUGUGGACAGUCUGCUAAGUAUGCAACUGAUCCCAGCAACAUGCCUCUUGAUUUUGAAUCUAGGCCUCUCUUGGGCCUUGAAUCACAUUCAAAAAUCAGUUAUGUUCCCAUUCCAUCUGAGUCUAUGGGAAUGAUGGAUCAUGAUGCGAUUACCAUGCCUGCUCAUGCUUGGGCUCCUCCAGCUGCUCCAGCAGUUCUUCCCCAAGUUUCCAUUUCUGAAUCAGUAUCACAGUUGGAUCAUCCUUUUGUUCCACACCCUACCUUAGGGCCACAACCAUCACCAGUCUAUGGAAGGUUGAUGGGGCCUGAAUUUCGGCCUAGUGUGCCACCUACUAGUCCUCCUUUUGGUUUAGUCACAGGGACAUCUCUUAAUCAUGCAACAAUAAUGCCUGCUGAUGCAAGUGCCAAUUUUAAUCUUUCAGGACGUCCAAAAAAAGCUGCAGUACCUAAUUGGCUUCGAGAAGAAAUCAUAAAAAAUAAGUCAUCGAUUGCAAGUACUUAUGUCGGUCAUCAAAGUGGGAAUUCUUACAAUUCUAUGGGACUGGAGGAUGAUGAUAAAUUGUAUAGGACAGGUGAUCAAAUUGACAACAAGAGUGCUGAUUCAACCAAAUCUUCUGUAGACGAGGAUGAUGACGAGGAUGGAGCUGAAGCUGUUAGAUCAGCAGCAGUAAACCAGGAGAUAAAACGCGUGCUAACUGAAGUUUUGUUGAAGGUUACAGAUGAGCUUUUUGAUGAAAUUGCUAUGAAAGUUCUUGAUGAAGAUGAUCUAAUUGAUGAAAUGACUGAGAACAAAGAAUUAGGAAAUCUUAAGGUCCCUAUUGUAGGAGUAUCGACAACUAAGGCUUCUGCAAAGGUUUUGGCAACAGUUGAAGAAGACCAGACUGAAAAUGGUGUUCAUGUAAGUUCUGGCAUGCGGUCUCCUGCAGGUGAUAUUCUGGGUCUUGCUAGUUAUGCUUCCGAUGAGGAUGAGGAUGAGGAUGUAGCCAAAAACUCCAAAUCAUUAUCAGUUAAUGAAAGUAGGUCUUCUGAAAAUGAACCAAGAAAUGGUGAGAUUGAGAAGAAUUUAAAUAACAAGGGGCCUCUAAGAGAUCCAGAUGGUGUUGCUAAUGGAAGAUUAGAAUCCAUUGGUUCUUCUAAGUCCAAUUCAAGAAAUCAUGUUGCAAAUUCUGUCAGGACGGAUCCCACAGUUUCUGACAGUAAAUUACCCAAUCGUGCUAAGGAACCAAAAGAUUCCUCUGUCACUAGUUCACAACAUCUACCUCACAAGAAUGAUCUUCCAUCUGAAAUUUCUUCAGAUGGUUACAAUGUUUCAGAGUCAAAAGGUAAGACAGUUAGUAAUAAAGUUAUGAAAGUGGAAAAUGCACUUACUGCUAAUGCAGUUGGAGAAUCUCUAACUGCUGAGGAGCAUGCAAGGGAAUUGAAAAAGUUUAACAGCAGCGAAAGAUACCCAGAAAAGAGGAGUUAUAGCAAAGAAACUGUUAAGAAAGAAUCACAUAUCACAGGAAAAUCAAUCAGUGAGGUUUCUGAUUGCACUGAGACAAUCAAUUAUGAAAACAAACGAUUGAAAGAAAGUGCUAAAGGGAGGAAUAAUUCAAAUGAUACAACUGAGGAAAGGAGUAAAAGACGAGCAAAUUCCAAGGAGUCUGAUGCAAAAGGUCAUGAUAGCAUCAACAACAAAAAGAUGGGUGUUGUAAAAGAUAAAAAGGAAAGAGACAAAGAGGAUACUGAAAGGAAAACAGAUAAAUCAAAGGACAACAGAGAAGGUAAGUCUAAACGCGAUACAAAGGAUUCAAGGUAUGUCAGUAGAAAAUCACCUAGUCAAAGGAGUAGAAGUAGCAAGGAAGGUUCCUUGCACAGUCAUGGUAUUUCAAAUGACGAAUCAUGUGAGGUGUCAAAAAGGAGGAGGAUGCAUUCUCGUUCACCAUCACCAAGCAGAUCCAAGGCCAGACAAGUAUCGCGGCCUCCAAAUAGGAAGCACUCUCAUCACAGGCAUUCUCCUUAUUCUUCUGAACGGAGGUUAGUCAUGAAAUUUCCAUCAUUUUUGAGGUUAACAUUGUAUGUUGCACCUAAAAACAAUUUUCAUCCAGGUGAAUGUGAAUUGAGCUCGAAGGCUCUGCUUCCUUCAAAUUGGUUUUAUUUUUUAUGUAGCUAUUGAUAAAAGUUCUUUUAUUUUUGUUACAGGAGGUCUAGAUCUGGCACACCAGUUCAUCGAAGGCGAUAAACCUGAGAGUAACAGAGAAGGUGGUCCAUGUUUGUUUGUUUGGAAGUAGUGGAAAACUACUACUAGUAUGAAUGUACCUCGAUAAAACUAUCGUCGGAGAAAGUGGAUCAGCAAUCAAGCAUGCAUGCGCACCUGGCAGAGGAACAUGAGCUUUUGAUCAAUAGUGUUUUUUAGAUCUGCCAAUGGUCUUUUCAGAUGGCAGAUAUGUUUGCAGUGCUAAAUGGAUUUGUAAUCACAAAUUGUAUCCAACUGAAAUGGCAUGUCAUGAAUGAUGAUAAACCGUCAAGUUUGGGUGGAUGUUUCUGAUGACAUGGUCCAAACAAUUAAUGAUUUAGUUCUGAUUUAAGGCAGAAAAUAUAUAUAAUCAAAAAGGUAAUUCCUAA